ACAGAUCGCUUUUACAUUACACUACGCACACAUACACACACACAAAAAAAACGGGACACAAGUUGCAUUUCCGGUCAAAGUUGCGUCUGAAGAGCGAUGACUCUGUCCUCUGUGUUUUUAAAUUUGGGAAAUAUUUUUUCUAACCUCACAUCUCCUGCCUGCCGUCUCCCCCAGAGACAGCUUCUAUCUGUUUUUUUCCCCUGACAAACUUUAAGGUUUUACUGUUUUUGGGUCUGCAGAAAGUGUCUGUGACCUCGGUUCCUGCAGGAGGUCUGAGCUGGUCGGCCGGGCCUGAACGCCUCUGCAUGGAAAGAAAGCCCUUGUUUCUCUGAAUAUUGCACGCUUUGUUACGGUAGGCCUGUGUGAGGCUAGAGACUGGGCCCAAAAUGAGGUGGUGACUCUGGGGUUGGGGGGUGUGGGGGGGGUGUUCCUCAAAUACAUCGAAGAUGUAAAACUGCAUUCAGACUAAAUUCACAGACCUGAGCUACUUCCUGCAGUCUGACCAGGUAAAACUGAGCUUUUGUAGCUCAGAUCUGUUUGUUGCAAAGAUUUUAAGAUCACAUUUUUUUUUGGUUGACCUUCGACUGUUCUUUUGCACUUCGACACCUUUGAGAAACUAAAGUCAAGACCUCCUCCAGGAACCCGGUGAGGACUAAAUGCUGGAAACAGCCACAAAGAAGGAAGACUGUGGUGGCAUGUCGAGGUAUGUCCGGAGGAUGAAGUGGAUGCAGUAACACAGAAGGAUGAUUUAAAAAAAAAACCCAACAUUUUAAGACUAAUGAUCUUGUUAGGGACUAAGACCAUGUUAGCCUUGAGACACCAAAAUGGGAUCUAGAUCUUUCUAUGGCUGCAUCAGCUCUGACGGGUUCAGAUUGCAGUUUGGUUGCUGCUGACAUGGACACAAAAUAAAUGAGAUCUUGUGUGCUUGUGUCAAUUACAGACGAAGACUAAGGCUGAUUUUAUACCUCUAAAAGCAACUCAUUAAAAGAUCUCAAUUGACCCAAAACCAUUUAGUCACAGGGAAUCUGACACUUCUUUGUCAUGGAUAUUCAAUUUCUGCACCCUGUGAGAACUGCUACUGCCAAUCAAACUGUUAGCAGCUAGCACGUUGACGUUAGUGAAGGCUAAUUGGGCGUUUGCAUCUCAGGAUCUGGCUACUUACUGGUACUGCAAGUCCUUUUUGUAGGACUGGGCGCAGGCUGAACUCUGGGGAAGCAGACGGGUAAACAGAUGGAGUUUUAGGUCUGCAGUUUGGCUCGCUAGCUGUGGUUGAGAGACAUAGAGUCAAACAGAGAGAGAGAGAGAGUUCGGAAACCGCUAACAGGGCUUCUGAAGUGAUCGGGGGGGUGUGGCCAAGAAAGCCCUGGAGGCGGGGUUAGUUUUCCUAAUAUGGAGGGAAGCACUUUCAUCAGAGGAGCCAGUGGGUGGAGCCUCUGGAACUGGGGUGAUGAACAGAGGUGUGGUUGUGGCCGCGUUUACACCACAAAGACAAAGGUCUUUUCAUUUCCAUAGACAGACGUGAAGAGACUCGAGUCACAAAAAAAACAGCUACGACGUUGCGUCUUUCAGCGGGUGCAUUACUUCUAAGAACAACAGCGUACUUUUUUUUUGUGAGAUUCAGCCGGCUGGUGUAAACGCAGUGUCUGAACUGAGCAUGGUGGACAAUGAUGCUGGCUGGAAGCUAUGUUUCUCUUUCUCUCUGUUUUUCACCCACAAGGACAGAAUAAAGGACUGUCUGAUGGGAGGCGAAGGGGAUGGCGGCGGUGGAGGUGAAGACGGCAGAUGUCGGGGAAGCGAAAGUGGCAAAAAAAAAGGACAGAGAUCGAACUACUUGUCAACUUUGACGGGAAUAAAUAUCUCAGUAGAUUUAUACAUAGACAUGCAAGUCAUUUUUUCUCUCUUUGAAGUUAUUUACAAUAAUUACAUAACACAAAGAAUCCAGUUUCAGUUUGACAAAAUUGCGAGCAUUCAAUAUUCAAUAUUACUACUAUUAUUUAUGAUAACAUAACUCCUUUUGUACUUCUUUAAAUCAUUGCUAUUAUAGAAUCGUCAUUACCUCCCUUUUUUAAAGUUUUUAUGUUUGAUCACUUUGUGUGAAGCCGUUCGUUCUCCCUCUGGGUUUUUGCAAAUGUUUUACUGCAUUUUUAUUCGUCAUUUAUGGUAGUAAUAAUAAUAAUAAUAAUAAUAACAAUAAUAAUGAUAACAAUGUUAUUUAAGUGUCUUUCCUACUUGCUAUGGUAGAGACCAUGUGGGCAUGGUCUAUCUUUGUGACCCCUCCCCCUUACUCGUCCCACCUCUCCGACUAGGGAAAAAAACACUGAUACAAACCAAAUACUGUCUCGUACGAUGAAGAGCAGAAAGACAAAGGGGUGGAGCGUCAAAUAAAUCAUCAUCAGAAAAAACAAUUAAUAUCAAGUCGCAGCUGCUACUGCUGACAAGGGCAGAUUGAAGCCACGACAAACAAACAAACAAACAUUUUUUGUCUUUAACAUCAUCCAGAAUAGGGCACUGAACAGGUUUUGGUUUUUGAAAAUUGGUUUCAGGAAGACAAAAAUCAUCGCAGAGAAGAGUUUAAUCGUCCGACAACAGAGGAACAAAAAAAGGAACGACUAACUUGGAUCCUCACUCUUUGAACUUGGUGUCUGCUGAGUACAAACUUGGAAGACAGACACCCGUCUGCAGUCGCUGUGCUGCUGGUUCACACUGAAAAAUCAUUUUGCAGAAGUUAACUGUAGAGCAUGUUGUGCACGCACACUUUUUUAUGUUUAAAAUGACCCCAAACUACAGGAAUUACGAGUCAUUUUUCUAUAUAUGUGUGUGUGUGUGAAACAACACGCUAAUUUACUUCCACAUACAGGCUAAUGGCUAACGGCUAACGGUAGGUCAAUCUUUGGAGUCUUUGUGUCGCACCCAAACUCUCUCCAGAUGAUUUUUUCCUGCUUUCCGUACCCCGCUCCGACAAAAACUGUACACAGCCAAUAGAAGCAGUAAUGGCUACGAAGCCACAUACAGUUAUAGAAAUGCAGUAUGUUGGUGUAAGAUUUAUAUAUAUAUAUAUUCUUGCCUAUAUAUGUGACUUCAGUUGACAAGGCCUCAGUCCUUCCUCACACACCGGAAAAUGCUCACUGCAGGUUUAUGGCUAGCAAGCGCUAGACUCGGCUAGAUGAAGAUGAUUCGUCACCCCCAAUCUUUUCCCUGUCACUGCAAAAUAUCCAUUAUCUCUACUGCACAUGUACAACGGUAAUUUUCAAGCAGAAAUGCACAUUGGUAUUAGAAGAACUAUUUCAUUAUGAAUUUACUCAUAAUCGAGUGCUCACUGACAGCUGAUUACCAAAAAACAGACACAAAAAUGGUGCCAAGCUGCACAGGUUGUUAUAAGUCCACUUACAGAAAUAACAACUCUGAAAUCGACAUAUGUCUUUGAUUGAUGUUACAAAUGUUUAGCUAACUGCUCCUAGCAACCGCUAACACAGCUGCUGGGGAAAUAACUCCCUCCCAGAACAGAAAACAUGAACACAAGUCAGAAUAAUGAAUUGAAAAUGAAACGGCAACAGUUAAUGUGAGCUUGCUAGCGAUGCAGGUCUGAAGUUUGAGGGAUUAAAUAAAUUAAUGUCCCCUUUGAUAAUCUAGCUAUCUAGCUUUUGUUGGCUUUUGUCAAAGUGUAGAGUACAGUAGAGGUAAUGAGUCAGAGGGGAAAAAAGUGAGUAGUAAUAUUUCAGUCAGGAUGAUCACGGAGAGGAGAAUUACAACAUGGUUAGCUGGCACUACUUCAUAACUCUCCUGACCGUUACUUUUGUGAAAAUCAUAGUCAUUUGCACAGAUAAACAAAAACAAUUCAGGUUUUGGUUGGUUGGAUUUGACCCGUCGGCCAAGAUACUUUAUGUCUGGCUAGCUAGCAAAACCUUAAAACCUGCAGGGUAGUAUUGAUCCAGUGGUGUGAACACAGAGACUGGUAAACAAGCUGUACAGAAAAUAACGACACCAAAAUAAGAAAAACAGCAAUUAAUAAAAAGAAUAAGAAAGCACCACUGUUGUCUCCGUAUAUGCCUCAAGUGGAAGAGAAGCGUACAUAUGCUAAUUUUUUCACAGAUGAUUAUGCGUCAUAUUUUUCCACUAAUCAGACCACAUACAUCUAGAGGUGGAAAGGAAAGGAAAGGGUGGUGGAGGCAGACGUUGUUGUGGCUUGAGAUAACUAUCGGACAGGUUUGACAGUUUGAUUGGUGGACAGACCAACAUGUAGUGAGGGCUGGUGUUGGUGGGCAGGGGGGCUGGGCUUUUGUUUCAAUAGUAACGGUAGCAUUUUUUAUUUUUACUUUUUUUACCAUUUGUGACGAACAUCUCAGUGUAAACUCGACUUGCGUUGUGCUCUUUAAUAUUAGCGGCAAAGAAUUUGAGAACACAUGAGGGGAGGGCAAAAAACGCUUUGGUUUGAAUUUUAAUAAAUAUAAUAACAAUAACAGUGAUCAUGGCAUCCAUAAAUAUGUCUGAUCUCUCAUCUCUUCCCAUCGGUCACAACUUUCACAAAAAAACCCCCCCAAAAAACAAAGUGGAAUUUGUCAAACAGCUGCAACCCGUGGACCUGCGAUCGGAUACUUCGCACAUCAAAACACACUCAUGCUGCUCCGACUCAAACAAACACACACAUUCACACAUCUAUGCACCAAUCUUGUUUCACUGAAGAGGAAGGGAGGCAUGCUGCACACACACACAAGGCCGGGUGGAGGGGCGACGGGAGGGUAGCCCACAGGUAAAAGUUUUCAGACUUAUAGUCUGUGGGGACUGUUCCUUCACUAAAACACAACACUAUGCAACCAUGAAGGCAAACAAGCACAGAGAUCAGUGGAUAACGGCGGUGUGCAACCUAGCGGGAGGUUUGGAGGUUGACGUCAGGAGUUAGGGGGGAAAGCAGGAUGUCUGAAGUCGAUGGCAGCUUAUUUGAAAGUUUUACCUUUCACAGGUUCACAUUUGAAUAUCAACCCGCUCUUUGAACAAAAUGCCUUAAAAAUCCAGUAACUGCUCCAACAAUGUGUUACAAACAAAGCAUGUGUGGUUGGCUGUUAAUGCCAACAGUUAUUUAACUCUUAAAAAAAGUAGGAACGAGUAAAUUAGUUAGCUAAUGCGCUAACCAAAGACAGGUCCGAUGAGCGGUAAAGUGCACGACAUGGAGGGCAGAUUGGGGGUGGGGUACAAAAAACACCAUCAUGCAAACUCCACAACGCUUUGCAUGCCUUUUUUAUUAUUAUUAUUAUCAUUAUUACACACAACGGGAUGGGUGGGGUCUGCUGGGGAAGGGACGGAGCAGACUCCCGAUGCUCAACGUCGUCUUUUUGUACAACCAAACAACUACAGCACAAACAGGAAGAGGGAAGACGACAAGACGGGGGGGCCGAAUAUUUGGACAAACCUCAUGACGACAAUAUUUUCCAACUUUAACUAACUGUAACCAUUCUGCCUCUGCGGCCACAUGGUUUUGUAAUGUUUGUCCUCGCUUUCUUUCCAAAGAAGAUGGUGGCAGGGCCUUGAUGAAUGGCUGCCAAACAGGAACAGGAACUUCACAGAAAACACACACACACACACACACACACACACACACACACACAUGGCAAAUAAACAUUGGUGUCAACAAGCAGGCUGGUGCUACGACGGCAUCCUCACACCACAAUCACCACCGCCUAACCCUUGCAAGACUACCGCGACGACCGUGACGUCACCAUCGACCAUCGAGAAUGUGUAACCGAAUGAAAUAUCGUGUGGUUGACUUGAUGAUGUAACUGGUAGAGAAUGAGCGGAGCAUUGUGAUUGGUGGAGGUAAAAUGUAUUGACUUUCAAAGCAGCCAACAGGCAAGUCAGUUUAGUUUCCCAGAUGAUCAAUUCCCUAAACACACAUUUGAAAUUUCCACAAUGAAGCAGAACUUUAAAAUAGACCAAAGACUUCUGGGAAAUGUAGUUAAGACGAGCACACUUGGGUUUAAUGUACAGGGGGGGAAAUAUCUGAUAUUUAAUCCAUUUGUGGACAGAUUUGAUGUUUGAACUACAUCUAAAAACCACCACUUAGAAAUCACCCAUAAAGACAGAAUGUAGCCAUGAACAACACAACAGCAGAGAAAAGUGCUAAAAUAUUCUAAAUCUACUGACAAUUCAUUUGAACAAACAUCUAUUGGAUUUUGCUGCUUGGAGGGGUUGGGGUUGUUUGCUAAGCUUUGGUGAACACAGAAGUUAGUUUUGGUUUUGGGAAGUCAAAAAAUAAAAUAACAACUCCCACCUUCAUUCUUCUCCAAACCUGAAGCUAAAAAUCCUUGCCCCUUUUUUCAUCUAGCGACUAUACAACAUCACAGACAUCUACAGCUAACAGUGCUAACUACUACAACGUCAGAGAAAACACACAUAUUCAACGAAGCAACUUCCUCAUGUCUUCUCCUCAUCCAGGCAGCCAGAAGUAUCGUUACCCGAGACAAAGCAGCUAGCAUGAUCUGGCAUUAUGCAUAUAUUGUUAGUCACGCCGUGGGUACGAUUGUUGGCUAACGAUUCUUGUCAAACACCACGUCAUAUUAGCUUCUAGUCAGAGCGUAGCCUUCCAGAGCAAUAGAGUUGUGAAGUGAUAUUUCUGUACUGAUGAUUCAACCAGGUGAGUUUCUUAAAGUGCUAAAACUGUCGGGCACCUAAAGAGAAAAAUAAAUGACAGGACUUUCACUCACCCAAAGUCACUUUUUCACAACUCUAUAGCUUCGAAUUGGGGGAAGAAUUUAGACACAGCUAGCUAGCGAAUCAGUUUUUCUGCCAAAUACACUGCACCAUAACAAACUGACUGUAUUGCUUUGACACCAAGUGUAGUGUAGGCUGAUUUUGUGGAGUUAAAGGUGGUUAUUUGUGGCUGUUGUUACCCUGACAGUGAUUGUAGUAUAGCUGUGCAGGAUCGUCCAGCGGAGGCCUCAACAGAGGCAGAUCUUCCUCCGUAUCACAGAGCCUGUACCGACGAACCUUCCCCCUUAAACCCCCCGAUCUAAAGCUAGAGUCACAAUACUGCGUAGUAACUUUCAACACAUCCGUGUGUCCAGUUUGGAGCAACAUACGACACAUUAACAGCAACAAAACAAAACAUGCUUUCACUAACAUAUAUAGUGUUGAAAUGUAACACACAUGUACAGUAUGUUGCAGUGUUGGGGAUAGAUAACACAUUAUUACUUAUUUGUAUUUAAAGAGUUUCAAAUACUAAUUCAAAUUAGCAUAUUAUUUAUUAUCUGUCACAGCAGCAGUACAGUAAUAGUUGCUAACUGCUGAAGCUAACACAAUUAGAGAUACACUACAGUGAGUACAUUUUAAAACAACAAUCAAGUAUAAAUUUAGAUGAUUUACUUUCUGUAUAUUAAGUGGAAAAGAGCAAAAGAAAAAUGCUAAAAUCAGCUAGUUUGACAAAAUACUAGCAAGCUACUAUUUACUAGCAAUUUCUGAAACUUUUGACCAUCAUCAGCAGACUGAAUUUGCAAAGUAAGCUCAUUGAGCUAACUCCUUCUGCUGAUGAAGACCAUGAUAUGUGGUUGACUGCUCUGGGAAAAGCUAGUAAGUAAACCUUGUUUUAAGAUUAUUUUGUCAAACCAUUAUUUCCACAAACUUUCUGUCUGGUUUGAUUCUGUCCCCAACACUGGAUCUGGACACACGGAAAAUGUCUUUCAAAUGAAAAAUCUCCAACAAGCAGCUUCUACACGAUCUACACGUAAAAACACAAGCUAACGUUACUAUAGCAUGCUAAGCGACGGAGUCUAACAAUAGCGCUGGCGUGUAAUACAAGAAAGUUAAAAGUGUGCGUUGAGCGGGAAUUUCCAGUGUGUCUGUGUGAAACGUUAAAUGUAAUAUAUGAGGCGGUCACGCAUGUGCUAUGUUGUGGAUGCAGGUGAAUGUGUGUGCGUCACACCAUCCACAGAGAAAAUCCACCAAUAGGAAAAGCCUCUCCUGCUCAGUAGCACCUGUGUAACGCAGGCAUUUAAAUAGUGUGAAUUAAAUAUCACAAUCCUCAAACACACACACACACACACACACACACACACACAUACACACUCAUACACCUGGACGGAUGCAGGGAGGACACAGGCGAAUGCAUCAGACUAAACAGGAACUGCUAAAAGAUGUCCGGCCGAUACGUCACAGGACACGUCACGCACGCACUAAAACAGCAGCACCACGAACAACGAAGCAACACACGUUCCCCAUUAAAAACCAAAAAGCAACGACAUCACUGCAACACUUAGGUAACCAGGGCACGCCAGCGUCUUCAGGGUUUUAAUACAUUUUCUGUCUCAUUUGUUGUCUCGCUUGUUUGUUAGUUUUAUAAUGUUUUGGUCGAUUUUUUCUUCUUUACUUUUUAAUGUGUUCUCUUCAUUUUUUAGAAUCUUCCAGAAGAACAGUUGUGACAGCUUGGAGAUGACAGCCGGCCUUGACCAAGAUAUCUCUACGGAGAUCAGUGUGAUGAGCCUUUUUGCGAGACUCUCAACAGACCGCUACGACCUACAAGGGGGAGCCGAGCUAGCAAUACUGCUAGAGAGCUAAUCUGCUCGCAUAUUUAUGACUAGCUUCGUCACAGCGGCAGGCGGCGGAGCGUCUUAGAAGCCCAGCGUGCCGCCGAUGGUCGACGCCAGGACCACGCCCAGGAUGACGCAGCAGAUGAUGAUCAUGAUCUUCUUCUGCAGGGUGACAGGAGAGACGCACAGCUGCAGUUCUCGUCUCCACCACCGAGAGGCAGCAGAGAGCGGAGCGGUGCUGAGGAGAGGCGAGGCAGCAGCCAAUGACAGAGCAGAAUACUGCAGGGUCACAUCAGACAGAAACACGACAUGUGUGCAUUUUUUUUCUGUUCAUGUGUGUCCAAUCACACGCUGAAGCUCUGCACAUGCUCAGUAGAGGAAAACAACUCAAAACCUUCAAAAUCAUUUUUUUUUAUAAAAAGAAGCUGUUUGAUGUGUUUAAUGUUGUCGGGACAUUUGAGUUCUUUUGAUGAUUGAUCUGUUGUAUCAGUGAGUCAGAAAGCUUCAGAUGAGCAGUGAUAGUUUUAGAUUAAAGUGAUGAAAUAUCAGGUUUUAAUUUGUGAAGACUGAAUUAAUCUUUAAACUGAGACAGAAUUAUUUUGCACAAAAAAGUAAAAAAAACAAGAAAUGAAAGUAUUUAUUUUUCUGUUUUCCUCACAAGAAAAUAAGAAAUAAGAAUCAGGUGUUAAAGAGAGAUUAACACAAACUAAAGUAUCUACUGUAUAAACUCUAAACAAAAGAAAGAAAAGGUACAAUUUUAUUUAAAUUAAAUAUAUAUAUAUAGUAAAAUACUAAAUGUCAAAAGUUGUUUCUUGUUGUUACUAGAUUGUGUUGUGAUAAUUGAUUUAAAGGUUGAGUUUGGGGAAUUUAACUUAAUUUAUAUAAACAGUAAAAUAUAAAAAGGGGACAAGAAAAGAAAAAACUGUUGGUAUAAAA